UACGGGGGGGGCAAGCGUUGUUCGGAAUUACUGGGCGUAAAGGGCGUGUAGGCGGGAAUGUAAGUCGGGCGUGAAAUCCCUAGGCUCAACCUAGGAACUGCACUCGAAACUGCGUUUCUUGAGUAUCGGAGAGGAAAGCGGAAUUCCUGGUGUAGAGGUGAAAUUCGUAGAUAUCAGGAGGAACACCAGUGGCGAAGGCGGCUUUCUGGACGAUUACUGACGCUGAGACGCGAAAGCGUGGGGAGCAAACAGG
rnacentral:rRNA from 1 species